rnacentral:rRNA from 1 species
GUCUAUGGCCAUACCACCCUGAACACGCCUGAUCUCAGACGCUAAGCAGGGCUGGGCCUGGUUAGUACGUGGAUGGGAGAAAAGGCCAUCUUUUGCAGAAGCAGCCAUCAGCU